rnacentral:misc_RNA from 1 species
ACAAACUUGGUCAUUUAGAGGAAGUAAAAGUCGUAACAAGGUCUCCGUAGGUGAACCUGCGGAGGGAUCAUUACAGAGUUCAUGCCCACACGGGUAGAUCUCCCACCCUUGUGUAUUUAUACCUUUGUUGCUUUGGCAGGCCGCCUGGGCGCAUGCCUGGCCACCGGCUCCCGAGCUGGUGCGUGCCUGCCAGAGGAUCUCCAAACUCUAGUUAUCAGUGUUGUCUGAGUACGAUACAAUCGUUAAAACUUUCAACAACGGAUCUCUUGGUUCUGGCAUCGAUGAAGAACGCAGC